rnacentral:rRNA from 1 species
AUUGAACGCUGGCGGCAUGCCUUACACAUGCAAGUCGAACGGCAGCACGGGUGCUUGCACCUGGUGGCGAGUGGCGAACGGGUGAGUAAUACAUCGGAACGUACCUUAUCGUGGGGGAUAACGCAGCGAAAGCUGUGCUAAUACCGCAUACGCCCUGAGGGGGAAAGCGGGGGAUCGCAAGACCUCGCGCGAUUAGAGCGGCCGAUGCCUGAUUAGCUUGUUGGUGGGGUAAAAGCCCACCAAGGCGACGAUCAGUAGCUGGUCUGAGAGGACGAUCAGCCACACUGGGACUGAGACACGGCCCAGACUCCUACGGGAGGCAGCAGUGGGGAAUUUUGGACAAUGGGGGCAACCCUGAUCCAGCAAUGCCGCGUGAGUGAAGAAGGCUUUCGGGUUGUAAAGCUCUUUUGUCAGGGAAGAAACACCGGCUCUAACACAGUCUGGGAAUGACGGUACCUGAAGGAUAAGCACCGGCUAACUACGUGCCAGCCGCCGCAGUAA